rnacentral:rRNA from 1 species
CAGGCCUAACACAUGCAAGUCGAACGCCCCGCAAGGGGAGUGGCAGACGGGUGAGUAACACGUGGGAACGUACCCUUUGGUUCGGAACAACCCUGGGAAACUAGGGCUAAUACCGGAUACGCGCGAGAGCGGAAAGGUUUACCGCCGAAGGAUCGGCCCGCGUCUGAUUAGCUAGUUGGUGAGGUAACGGCUCACCAAGGCGACGAUCAGUAGCUGGUCUGAGAGGAUGAUCAGCCACAUUGGGACUGAGACACGGCCCAAACUCCUACGGGAGGCAGCAGUGGGGAAUAUUGGACAAUGGGCGCAAGCCUGAUCCAGCCAUGCCGCGUGAGUGAUGACGGCCCUAGGGUUGUAAAGCUCUUUUACCUGGGAAGAUAAUGACGGUAGGCAGGAGAAUAAGCCCCGGCUAACUUCGUGCCAGCAGCCGCGGUAAU